GAGCAAAUAAAUUACGUUGUCAAAUUGAAUGGGUCCUGAUAGAGAACUUUGAUUAGCUCGCCUUAAGACGAGUUGAUAAAUCAAAGUAAAAACCCACACAAAAUGUGCAGACGUUUAUAUAAAAAUUAAAUAUACAUGAAAGGCACACAGGCCAGCCAAAAGAGUGGAACGAUUUAUGCCUCCGGGUUAUAAAUUAAGAUAAUAAACCACCAAAUUGUUAUAAGUUAAUUAAGCUAAAUGAAAAGCUCUUAAGCAUCAGGCGGCGAGGCACCAGGACAUCCAAGACUCCCAAGGAUCCAAUGAUGAACCGAGACCAUCAAGGUGAAGUUGGGUGAAAAAAAAAUAUGCCAUAGUUAUAACUGAAAG